AUUACUUAGAGGGUAAAGAAUUGUAUGUGAUUAUUGAAACAAUAAAGAAGAUUAGCAUGGCCCCUGUACAAAGACAUGAAAAUUUGUGAAACAUUUCAUAUUAGG